AGCGGGCCGGGCCCCUCUGACGUAGUCGACACCCCCAUGUCGAACGUGAUGUCGGACCGCAUCGGGUGCGCUCGAUGUUGGGUCCUGGCGGCUUACCCCCUCUCGCCAUACCCCUCGCCCGGCGUCGGGCGCGCCCCUCGA
rnacentral:sRNA from 1 species